rnacentral:pre_miRNA from 1 species
AAUAGAUGACGCCGUUGACUUUUUUUCGCAUGUUUGACCAUUCGUAUUAUUCAAAAAAUUUACGUAAUUUUUUAUCAUUCAUACUACUUUAAGUGUGAUUUAUAUCUUAUACAUUUGCAUAAAAUUUUUGAAUAAGACGAAUGGUCAAACAUGUGAGAAAAAGUCUAACGGCAGCAUCUAUU